AUUGAACGCUGGCGGCAUGCCUUACACAUGCAAGUCGAACGGCAGCACGGGAGCAAUCCUGGUGGCGAGUGGCGAACGGGUGAGUAAUGUAUCGGAACGUGCCCAGUCGUGGGGGAUAACGCAGCGAAAGCUGUGCUAAUACCGCAUACGAUCGAUGGAUGAAAGCGGGGGAUCGCAAGACCUCGCGCGAUUGGAGCGGCCGAUAUCAGAUUAGGUAGUUGGUGGGGUAAAGGCCCACCAAGCCAACGAUCUGUAGCUGGUCUGAGAGGACGACCAGCCACACUGGGACUGAGACACGGCCCAGACUCCUACGGGAGGCAGCAGUGGGGAAUUUUGGACAAUGGGCGCAAGCCUGAUCCAGCAAUGCCGCGUGCAGGAUGAAGGCCUUCGGGUUGUAAACUGCUUUUGUACGGAGCGAAACGGCUUCCACUAAUACUGGGGGCUAAUGACGGUACCGUAAGAAUAAGCACCGGCUAACUACGUGCCAGCCGCCGCAGUAA
rnacentral:rRNA from 1 species